rnacentral:lncRNA from 1 species
GCUCUCUUACCUCAUGGUUCACUGGGUGCAAUACCUUGUAAAAUGAAUACACUAUGGUAAGUGUUGUAAUACAGAUAUAGACAGAGUUCUCGGCAAGGGCAGAAGAGCUGCUGAGUCCCAGCCCCAAGCCUCAAUGUUCCCGGCUCCGUCUUACACUCGCAAGGGAAGCAAACAAACAUUCUUGCGGAAGAUACAGAGAUUUCAUAAUCUCUCCCAGGAUUCCCUCUCUCAAUUGCAUAGCUCCGCCAUCUGUCAAGUAGCCUAAACCAGAAACCAAGGAGGGCGUCCGUGAUCCCUCUGCCUCCUUCACCUCCCUUACCCCAAAUUAUCAGUUUUGUCUCUCAAAUAUAUCUGGAAUCUCUCCACUUCUCUCUGUCUUCCCUGCUCCAAACCUCCCAUCAUCUGUCGCCUGGAUUCAUCUCUCCCCUGAAUUGCUACAAUGGCCUCCCUACAAUGGCCUCCCUUUUUUUUUUUUUUUUUUUUUUUGAGACGGAGUCUCGCUCUGUCACGAGGCUGGAGUGCAGUGGUGCGACCUCGGCUCACUGCAACCUCCGCUUCCCGGGUUCAAGCGAUAAUCCUGCCUCAGCCUCCGAAGUAGCUGGGACUACAGACGCGGCUAAUUUUUCU